CAUUUACGGAGCAGAGAAGUAUGAAGAGGUCGGUGAGUGCCGGAAACAAUGGAGGGUGAGCCUGGUCUCCAUCACCUUCAGCCAACAGGUCUCGUAGAGGAGGGCUCUAGCCAGGGUGACCAGGUGCCUUGGUUUUUUAUUUCCAAAAUCUGGUCAACCUGUAUGGGCUGUAAAUUUGGAUUAGCACUGUCUGCUAUACUCUGAAUUGCAAGCAAUUAAAGGGAC